rnacentral:rRNA from 1 species
UCAAGAGUACGUGAAACCGUUCAGGGGUAAACCUGAGAAACCCAAAAGAUCGAAUGGGGAGAUUCAUCGCCAGCGGCGUUGGCUUCCGUGCGGCUCGCGAUGGCCGGGACCUGGUUCCGCGUCACGCGCGCUGCGGUAUGUCCGGCGACGUCGGCGUGCACUUCUCCCCUAGUAGGACGUCGCGACCCGUUGGGUGUCGCCGAUGGCCGUUUGGUCGACUGCCUCGUCGCGUUCGCGCGCACGUGGCAGACCGAAGCCGAGCGUCCGGCUGCCCGGCGGUAUAGAACGCUUACGGUAAUGAGCCGCAUAAGUGCGUUAGGCUCGUCGGCAGGCUCGUCUCGCUCGGAUACGGACCUAGCGCCGUUGCCGGGUGCUUGGCGUGGCCUUAGUCGACGGUGUCCUCGGACUGGCUCUAAAUUCGAAAGGAUUACCGGUCGGCGACGCUACUGCUUUGGGUACUUUCAGGACCCGUCUUGAAACACGGACCAAGGAGUCUAACAUGUGCGCGAGUCAUUGGGACUUGAAGCCUAAAGGCGCAAUGAAAGUGAAGGUCGGCCCAGUCGACCGAGGGAGGA